GAAAUAAUGUUGCUCAAAUUGUACAAUUAUUAAACAAAAUAAUGAGGAUUUCUAUUAGCCUAAUUGAAGUGUAGAUUAUAUCUCACAUUCCAGUGUUAGAACUUGUAAACAAAGCUGAAUGGGAUUUAUAUUAAUGCGACUCCGUGCAUCCAAUGGCAAUGUCCGCUAUAGGUACAAUGCCCGGAGCUGCUUGUGGAUUUGACAGCUCUAAUGCAGUUCCACCUCCGACACCAAGAAAACAUCAGCUAUGCAGAUGUUUGCUAAAGCGGAUCUGACUGAAACGGGUGUUCCCAAUGGCAGGACUUACUAAACCAUGUCAAUGGUUUGUUUUGGAAAGAGAAUAGACCUUGAUACCCUUUGUAUAUGACCUCUUCAAUUUAGACAACACUUUAACGUUAUGAGUGGGGUAUAAUGCUUUUAAUAUAAUGAAAUGGUUGGUCCAAUGAAUUUUUGUUGUGAAACAAAAGGUGACAUGUAGGCUACAGAUAGAACAGCACAUUGUUGAUACGGGCCCUUCAAAGUAAAGGAAUGUUAUGUCUAUUUAUCUGUCAGCUGCAUUGGGCUUUGCCUACUGUGAGUGUCCCCAAUACAGGCCCUGGUUUGUCAUGUCAACACGUAUACGGUCAACAAAUUGGUGUCACGGCUGCAGUGUCAGCAGUUUUAUCUGAUGACACAAAAGUGGAGGAACCUGUUAAUUAGCUCAUAUUAACCCUUGUGUGCUGCAACGACCUUUCUAUUCUAUUGAUCACUGUUUAACCCUUGUGUAGCCUUAACAUUCUGUAUACUCCCCUUGUCCUAAGGGUAAAAAAUGACCCGCCUUCACUAAACCCCUAAAAUAAAGCAGCUAAGUUGAAUUUUAAACCCCAAAUCUAUUUUGCAUGAAGAAACAACCUGUCAUUCAUCAAACUUUGUGAAUAUCUUGGUUUUCCCUCUUCACAUUGCAGAAAGACGGCAUUUAACCAGUGGACACCACUCGUUUUUAUUACAACACACCUGUCAAUUGUUUUCUUUACUAAAGUAGAGGUUUAUUAUUAUUGCUAAAGGUACUGCAAAGGUGUAAACACAUUUUUUAGCACGAGAUAGCACUAGUAUAGCCUAAGAAAGUAGCAGAAGGGAAACAAAAAGUCUUGAACGUUUUUGGCAACAUAGUGACAUAUUCUUAUAUAUUCUUAUAUACAAUGAGGAAUUCAACUACAAAGUACUAGUCUUCUCCCAUUCUUUAACCAUUGCCCCCACCCACAAGGUGUAUAAACAACAAUAAAUACAAAUAAAAUAAGAUAAUAGAUACAAAAACGUGAACAAGAAAGUUUUAGUUUUGUCUGAGUUCAAUCAGUAGCACACAAUCUCAAUUUCUCAUUGUGUGUGUGUGUGUGUGUCUUUGUGGUUUUUGUGGUGUGUAAAUUAUUUUAUAAUUACCGGGUCAAAAAUGACCCUAAGACAAUCUUUGUACCCUGGUGGUGUACAGCUUUCAUGGAAAUAUGAACAAAAGCGAUGUUUCACUUUUUCUAAUGUUGGGGUCACUCUAGGAAAGUAAGCAAAUUUCAAGUUGAAAAAAUAUCAUUUAGGGGACUUUGUCUGCUGUUAAACAUGGUGAGGGGUAAUUUUUUUAACUUUUUUUUUUUAACCUUUAAGACAACACAAGUGUUAGUAUGACUUGAUUUAAGAUUUUAUCAUUUAGAGACAUUAUACAUGGUUUAAAAACUUGUUGUACUUCUACAGCACUGGAUGUAAUUUCAGCACAGUUUUGGAUUAAAUUGAUGCUCAAAUUAUUUUCUUGUCUUUUUCCAUUCCAGUUUCAAGGGUGAGUCAGAAAGACCAGUACACAAACCUAAUACACAAAAUAAUACCUGACACACCCCUUAUCUGCUGUAAUUGUUUUUAAGAGAUGGUUAUUGUCUAGCCCCGUUUAUGCCUGGUGCUAACAUGGGUCCUUUGUCCUGAUCUUGUGUACAUUCUGAUUGUUCCCACAUUUCCAGAAAUGUGUUGUCUACACAUAGUAUUUUAAAUGUAUGUUAUCUGUCCACUGUGUCUGUGUUGUGACCAGAUAUCCUGGUCCCUUCCUUUAGGCACAUUAUUUCACAGCUUUUCUUUCAAAAUAAGAUAUGUUAUUUUUUUGUAAGACACAUAUUGAUGUAAUCAGUCAAUGCAGCAACCUGUCAAUGAUUUUAGAGGGUGGAAUAAUUCUGAUUUAAAUGGUUUCUCUGUCCAGAGAUGUCUAUACAAUGCAUGUUCGACUACCUCCGGAGGCGGGCAGCAGGAUCUCAUCACAAUCAGAUCACAAUGUGUCUUUUGAUUGUCUACGCCUGUCAAAAAAUGUGGGCACAUUCAGAAUGUGGACAAGAUCAGGACAAAGGAUGCAAGUUAGAACCAGGUAUAAACAGGGAUUCUGAGAUGUCCUCCUUAGUCUCAUGAACAUAUUUAAAGAAAAGGGCUACUUUGACAUCAAAUAAUAUUAGAAAUUAAACUCAAUUACAGUAUGUUUAUUUUGAUAAGUGUUUUUGACAGAAACAAGCUCAUAAUCUUGUUUCAUUUCAUCUCUGUACAUACUUUUUUUUAAUUUUUUUUUACAGUUGAUAAAGUUACAUGCAUGUGGGCAUCUUCAUCUUCAUGGGUUGAACACAGUAGGCGAGCAUUUAGAGAACAAACGAGAGCUACAAGAAAUGUAAGAACAGCAAUUCCAUUCAUUUAAAAAGACAAUACAAAAUCCAGACAUUUUUACAUGAGCAAUAACAAUUUUCAAGUGCAAAUACCAUUAUCAAGUCUAUGAUACAUCAUAGCAAACUCAUGUAAAAAAACAAACCAAAAAAACUCAACCAUCUGGUGUGUUCAGGCUGCAGGGACAGAGGGAUGAAGAGAGGGAAAGGGUGAGUUGGGACAGGUGGUAACAGUGAGUGCUAUGGACUGUUGCUAUUGACAUCGAAAUGUUGGGAUUUAAAAAAAAACAGGGUGGUAUAAAUACUAAUGGCAACUUUAAAACAAACAUUGAAAAGAAUACAGAUAUAGCAGAUAUUCUGUGAUGUGUAUUAAACAGUUCCUUCUGACUAUGAGGUCUGCAUGGCUAGGCCACGCUUGUCUUACAAUUUAGCAAUGUGGUGAAAAUCCUUUUCUCUUAUCCAGAAGCACCUGUGCUUACAACUAUCUAAAGGUAUUGUACAAUAGCUUUUACCAUUUACACUGUUCAUUUUCUCUUUUAUUUACAAAAAAAAAUAUCUAAAAUCAAAUAAAAACAGGGAAAUCCUUUAUAUUUAAGAGCAGUAGCUAACAUGUUGAUUCUUCUUCAACAAAGGUUUGAGUGUAUUAGGAUUACUUGUUAUCAUUGUCAUUUGUUUUUACAUUGCAAUAAUUCCAUUGUAAUAGUAUUGCAUUGAUCAACUAUAUUUGUUUUUCAACAUUAUUGUAGUGUGAUGCUGAAUAUAAAGUAACUUCAUUCAAAACCCUAACGCCAGUCACAUUUGUUUUUUAAAUUAGUCCAAGAAAAGACAAUCCUUUGUUAUGUUUUGACAAAUAUUAACAUUGUUUUUUAGUAUUUCUUUAGACACAAAGAGAGGAGUAGCACAAUGGAGACUUCAUUCAUUGCACUUACACAACAAAGGUAGGAUGACAGGCUCUAGAUCUAGUGCACAAGAUAAUAACUAGGCUUUUGCUGUGCGGACAGUCUUUGGAAGAGCUGGUCUUAUUGGGACAGAAUCUGCUCAAGUGUAUUUAGAUUAAAAAGGAUUCAAACCGUGUCAAUUUUUGAAAGAAAGAAAAACAUUACAAUCAGUUGGUAAUCCAUGGAUGGAGAUGCAAAUGUGAUAUGACAUUCAACUUGGAUGAGGACAGGUGUAGGACUGUAUUUAUACUUAUGAUGCAUCUCUCUGAACAGAACAUUCUUUUAUAUUAAUUCAAUGGACUAUUAGUGUGAUGCGAGCACAGAAAGAGGACUUGAAAUUGAAGAAUUAAAGUGACCUUUUUUAAAAGAAGCAGCAAACGUAUGUCCCUCAUAGACAUUUCUCUAUCUCUCUCUCACAGAGUUGUGUCCAAUAAAGACAUUUUCUGUAUCACAGAGCCUUGUCCUUUAAUUAAGAUGUAUCUCUGUUUCACUCACCAGUCAUGGACCAUAGAGACAUUUCUCUGUAUCUCUCCUCACCAGUCAUGGACCAUAGAGACAUUUAUCUGUCUCUAUCCUCACCAGUCAUGGACCAUAGAGACAUUUAUCUGUCUCUAUCCUCACCAGUCAUGGACCAUAGAGACAUUAUUUUGUCUCUCUCCUGUGAUUCUCACAAAUCUAGUUUUCUAUUUAUUUUCCAAAAUGUCCAUCACCGUCUCAAUUUUUUAAAAUAAACUACAAUUUAUACACUUUGUUAAGUUAACUUGGAUAUAGACUAACAGAAAAUAUCUGUAGGUAGGUAACAGACAGUUAUACAAUCUGGACAGAAGAAAAAAACGGAAUAACUGUUUUAACAGUAAUACCUUAACA
rnacentral:lncRNA from 1 species